GAAAGUGGAGGAGUACUUGACCAGAUGCAGGAAACAACACCCUGUUUCUUUUUUUGUUUUGGGCUUAGAUUGGCCGUUCCAUCCUUUAUCUUUUACUUUUUUUCGUUUUAUUUUUAUUUUUAUUUUUAUUUUCUUUCUGCUUAAAAUUAUUCAGGAUACCACUUCCACCCCUGUUUGUUUAUCUUUCUGCUUUCUCUUUUGUUUACUAGAACAUUAAAGAGUGCGCUUUUAUUAUUUUUUUUGUUUUAAUUUUAUUUCUUUUGGUUUUGUUUUCUGGGUAGGUUUAGUCUUAUAUGUUUGUCAUAAAAAUAUAAUAAGAAUUAAAUAAAAGAUAAAAGAAGAGAGUAAAACUACAAAAUUAUCAAAAUAGUUUUAAUUUCUUUUUCUAACACUUAAUAUCUUUUAAUAACUAAAUGUAGUUUUAAUUAAUUUUCAAAUUUAGACUUUUCCUAAAAAAAAUACCAAUGCAAAUGUUAUUUUUAAUUUAUUUCAAAUACUUUGAUAAAUAUUACUGUUAAACCAUUAUGUAAAUACAAU
rnacentral:lncRNA from 1 species